UUUUUGUUUUUUUUUUGUUUUUUGUUUUUUUUGUUUUGUUUUGUUUUGUUUUUUUGUCUUUUGAGAGAUAGAACACGAGGUUGGGACAAUAGGGAAUUGGGGGAGAUCUGAGAGGAGUUGUGGUAGGAAAAAGAAUGAUAAAAAUAUAUUGAUCAAAAUGUUUUUAACAAAAAUUUAAAUAGAAGUCUCAAAAGAAAAAAACUAAAAAAAAAACCCUUAAAAAAAAGAGUACAACAUUUUCUUUCUCUUUAUGAAAGGAAACAUCCAUGUUAUAAUUAUGCUUCAAAAAUAAUGCAAAAGGGUUUGGGAGACAGUUCAGUGGUUAAGAGCACUUAGUGUUCUUACAAAGGACUUAAGUGUGGUUACUAGAACCAACAAUCUGCCUGUAACUCCAGAUCUAGGAGCUCUAAGGCUUCCAGUCUUCUGGACCCCUGCACUUAUGUGCACACACUGACACAUAUGCAUACAUGCAUACAUGCAUACAUGCUACAUGCAUACAUACAUACAUACAUACAUAGAGGGGGGAGGGAGAGGGAAUUAAAAUAGCAGUUUCCUAAGCACAUCUGCAAUGCAAGCACUAGGGAAGCUAAAACAGGGGUGCCAAGUUCCAGACCAGCCUGACCUUGUCUCACAAAAGCAAAAAAGUGAACAUAAUUUAAAUGUAAACAAAUACCUCAUUUAUCUAAAAAUGUUUGCUAUUUCUGAGAAUGAAUGCUUUUAUUAUAAAAAUAAUAUGAAGAAUAAGCAAGUGAGACUAAGUAUCAUUAAAAUAGAUCAUUCUAAUAUUUUAAUGUAUUUCAAGUCAUUCCAUUCUAUCUAGGUGUACAUGGAUGUACAUCAGAAUGACAUCAGCAGACAGGCAUUAGCAUUUUUUAGGUAGCGUGUUGAUAAUUCACUGAUCUGAUAACUUUGAAUGCUUCAUGGAGUAACUGGACCAAGACAUAUAUGUACGUUUAUGUAGUACGUUUAUAAUUCUUCCUUGACUAUCAGGCCUCCCAAGGAUAUUUCAAUGAAAUCAUCAAUAUGACAAAAUGCCUAGCCAAUCCUCCAAAACUAAGAUGACAGUUUCGAAAAUGCUUUCAUUACAAACUGUACCCGUUCUCACCUGUCAGAAUUAGCUGUUUCAUUUGCCUAAGUGCAGUGACAAAGAUCUAAGUUGUAAUGUUAGCAUUUCUUCUAGGCGCCACCCAACAGUUACCAAGCAACAGCCAGGUACAAGCCAGGAUUGAUAUAAAAGGUCUCUCUCUCUCUCUCUCUCUCUCUCUCUCUCUCUCUCUCUCUCUCUCUCAAGCAACAGCCAGGUACAAGCCAGGAUUGAUAUAAAAGGUCUCUUUCUGUCUCUCUGUCUCUCUGUCGGUCUCUGUGCAUGUGUCUGUCUGUCUGUCUGUCUGUCUGUCUGUCGCUCUGCCUCUUUCCCCCUCCCUCCCUCAUUAUUCUCUCUGGCCUCUUUCUCUCUCCCUGUCCUCUCCCCAUCCCUCUCUCUAGUGAUCCCUGUCAGCCUCUUCCCGUUUUUCUCUCUUCUCACUCUCUGUCCCUCUGCCCCUCCCCUUCCCUGCCUUUACUCCCUUUUCAAUCCCUCUUCUCACGCCCUAAAAUAAACUUCAUUUUAUACUAGACCCAUUGUAUAGCUGGUACCAGGGUGGGGGUGGGGGUGUUGCCUGAGCAUGGGCCUGCUAAGGCACCCCCUCCUGCCACAUCAUACUGUGUUUUACAAAACGUAUCUUCUAGAUUGUGCACAAGACCCCAAAUAUAAGGAAUGCAUUACAGACAAUGCAAGGGAGACUGAAGAAACUGUGUCCUCUAAAUAUUGACUCUUAGGAAGGCAUAAAUACACCAACUGCAAGUUUGCAAAUCUAUGUUUCUUGUUGUUCUGCACCACACUUGCAUUAAAAAAUGUUGGGCCUAAAGCUGAACAUAUUUUCUUAUUUUAUAUUAGGUUCAUAUGUUGUAUACCCCAAUUCAAUUCAUAGCACCCAUAUCUAACUGCUCCCAAAGACCUACUCCAGCAUCAGACGCCCUCUCCUGGCUAGCCUAGUUGGGUCAAAAGAAUCAUCUAUGAAUUAUGUGGGUUUUCUUGAUAGAUUAUUAGGAGUCAGAGUUUAGCUACACAAUAGUGUUGGAAGUCUUAAAUGACUUCAUCUAUAUUUUCCAGUUAAUCUUGCAUCUCAGAUACUGCAGCUUGGGGAUUUUGUGUUUGUGUUGGGGCUGAGGAUCUAACCCUGGGCCUUGACCACACUAGGAAAGUGCUCCUUUGCUCAUACCACAACCUAUUACAACUUCUUUUUAAGAGCCAGGGCUUUUGUUAAAUCUGGAUAAUUUUUAUAUUAAAAAUGCCCAGCAGAAUUCUAGAUUGCUGUCCUUCUCCUGUUUCCCUACCUGCAAAGGAAGAUAGUUAACAGCAAUAUGCCACAGGUUGUAGCAUUGUCAAAAGAACAUGAAACUAUUUACUGCUACACUAAACCAGGCAAAACCUACCUAUUGGAUUAUCUCAUUCACUCAUUCAUUCAUUAAUUUGUGGUGUUGGGAUGGAACCCAGGUUGUUGUGCAUAUUAGGAAAACACCCUUCCACUCAGUCAAAACCUCAGGAAACGUUUUUUUUUUCUUUGACAGUUUCAUACAUGUACAUGUAUAACCUUCAUUUGUAACAUAGAAACCUAAUAUGAAAAUAAUGUGCUAAACCUUAGGGUUAACCUUCUUUAAGUGUGUUGCAAAACAAGAUGAAAAUAUGAUUCAGAAAAUUACAGCUAGUUUAUUUCUUCGAGGGAAGGUGGACUGGGAGGAGAGGGGGGGUGAUGUAAAGUGAAUGACUGAAUACAUAAAUAGGGGAAAAAAGUCAACACGGGAACACAGUAAGUUUCUUCAGUCUCCCCGGUGCUAGCAUUGUCUCUCAUUGCUUCCACCUAAGAUUAUGGCAGAAUGAUUAUGAGCAUGUAUAAUCACCUUAUGAAACUGUUAUAAAAAUGCUUUUUCAACAUCGGAAUAAAUCCAACAUUCGUCAGGCACAACGAACAAAUAAAACAUGGACAACGAAAACAUUUUCUUGCCAGAGUGUAUCCUGAACUGCAUUGUAUGCAUUAGCAAAUAUUGUUGGAAAUGGGGACGCAGGUCGGUAAUCUCAGCAGCAACAGGCUGUGGCAUAAGGAUGGUGAAUUUGAACCCAACCUGAUCUACACACAGCCAAUCUGGUCCACACGGCGAGAUCAUCUAAAGAAAAAUAAUAUUUUUUUUAAAAAUUUUAUCCAAGAAAUUUACAUCCAAGAGUUGAUCAUUACAUCCAAGAGUUGGUCUCCCAUAUCCAGAUAUGGACAAAACAGUCAAACUAUGCAUGUAUACAUCUCUAAGGCUUUCGGGACAGGGUCCAAAAGCUGAGAAACGAGGUUAACUUAACUUCUGUUUCACAAUAACCGUUAGCAUAGACUAAUUAGAGAAAGUUGGCGCUUCUCCGAACUUAGUAUUGCGGAAACCAUGGCCUCGGGGUUAGCAGGCACCGGAACCAGAUUUCUGCACGCUUUGUCCCGCGUAGGACAACAGUUCGGACGCACAUUUCUGGCUAAAAGCGGACGCCGCUACUGGCCGGAGCCAGUGGCUCCGAGGAGAGUCAGAGACGACCCGCGACCGCUCGGAGGACCUGGUAGGACAGGGUGCGGCCUCGCGCUUCCGGUGCCCAGCUUCCGGCUCCGGGUCUGGGCCUGGGGCAGAGGCGGAGCCACCGCCGGCCGCGACUUUCAGACUCGUACCAUGGCUCUGCGCUGGUCAUGCUGGCGGCGCCGCUGCUCCUGGAGGCCGGCGCUGGUCGGGAGCCCGCGGCCGGCACGCCCUGGCUGUGCAGGACCGCUCGGGACACGCGCCGCCUCGGACACCCGCGCGCAGAUACCCUAUUUUAGUCUUUUGAAGAUUUUAACAUCUGCCUCCCCAAAUAUGCAUAGUAUAUCGCAGUUUCAUCAAAGGACACCAGCAAUGUGCUGUUGUAGUCAAACUCAGAGUGGUGAGAAAUACAGUGAUCCUUUUAAACUUGGCUGGAGAGACUUGAAAGGUCUAUAUGAAGACAUUAGAAAGGAACUGCACAUCUCCACCAGAGAACUGAAGGACAUGUCUGAAUACUACUUCGAUGGCAAAGGAAAAGCCUUUAGGCCGAUUAUUGUGGUGCUAAUGGCCCGAGCGUGUAAUAUUCAUCAUAAUAACUCCCGAGAGAUGCAAGCCAGACAGCGCUCCGUAGCCUUAGUUGCAGAAAUGAUCCACACUGCUACUCUGGUUCAUGAUGACGUUAUUGACGAUGCAAGUUCUCGAAGAGGAAAACAUACAGUUAAUAAAGUCUGGGGUGAGCAAAAGGCUGUUCUUGCUGGAGAUUUAAUUCUUUCUGCAGCAUCCAUAGCUCUGGCACGGAUUGGAAACACAGCAGUUGUAUCGCUGUUAGCCCAAGUUAUUGAAGAUUUGGUGCGUGGUGAAUUUCUUCAGCUAGGGUCAAAAGAAAAUGAGAAUGAAAGGUUUGCCCACUACCUUGAAAAGACCUUCAAGAAGACAGCCAGCCUGAUAGCCAACAGUUGUAAAGCAGUAUGUCUCUGUCCUGGGUUGCCCUGACCCAGUGGUGCAUGAGAUUGCCUAUCAGUAUGGGAAAAACGUUGGAAUAGCUUUUCAGCUCAUAGAUGAUGUAUUGGAUUUCACCUCAUGUUCUGACCAGAUGGGCAAGCCAACAUCUGCAGACCUGAAGCUAGGCAUAGCCACCGGCCCUGUCUUGUUUGCUUGCCAGCAG